AAUGGGCGAAAGCCUGAUCCAGCCAUGCCGCGUGAGUGAUGAAGGCCUUAGGGUUGUAAAGCUCUUUCAGUGGGGAUGAUAAUGACAGUACCCACAGAAGAAGCCCCGGCUAACUUCGUGCCAGCAGCCGCGGUAAUACGAAGGGGGCUAGCGUUGUUCGGAUUUACUGGGCGUAAAGCGCACGUAGGCGGAUUGUUAAGUCAGGGGUGAAAUCCCAGAGCUCAACUCUGGAACUGCCUUUGAUACUGGCAAUCUCGAGUCCGGAAGAGGUGAGUGGAACUCCUAGUGUAGAGGUGGAAUUCGUAGAUAUUAGGAAGAACACCAGUGGCGAAGGCGGCUCACUGGUCCGGUACUGACGCUGAGGUGCGGCAGCGUGGGGAGCAAA
rnacentral:rRNA from 1 species